rnacentral:rRNA from 1 species
AUUGAACGCUGGCGGCAUGCUUUACACAUACAAGUCGAACGGUAACAGGCCGCAAGGUGCUGACGAGUGGCGAACGGGUGAGUAAUGCAUCGGAACGUGCCCAGUCGUGGGGGAUAACGCAGCGAAAGCUGUGCUAAUACCGCAUACGAUCUGUGGAUGAAAGCGGGGGACCUUCGGGCCUCGCGCGAUUGGAGCGGCCGAUGUCAGAUUAGGUAGUUGGUGGGGUAAAGGCUCACCAAGCCAACGAUCUGUAGCUGGUCUGAGAGGACGACCAGCCACACUGGGACUGAGACACGGCCCAGACUCCUACGGGAGGCAGCAGUGGGGAAUUUUGGACAAUGGGCGCAAGCCUGAUCCAGCAAUGCCGCGUGCAGGAAGAAGGCCUUCGGGUUGUAAACUGCCUUUGUACGGAGCGAAAAGGCUCCCUCUAAUACAGGGGGCUCAUGACGGUACCGUAAGAAUAAGCACCGGCUAACUACGUGCCAGCCGCCGCGGUAAGAC